GAAAUGCGAUAACUAGUGUGAAUCGCAGAAUUCAGUGAAUCAUCGAGUCUUUGAACGCACAUUGCGGCCGCUGGCAUCCCGGCGGCCAUGCCUGUCCGAGCGCUACUAGCACCCCUCGGGCCACUGUGCCCGGCGUUGGGGGUACCGCCCGCCUGGCGGCGGCCCCUCUAAAGGUAGCGGCGGCGGCGCCUGUGGUGCUGCGCGUGUACUACAGAUGAACCGCGCGCGGCCCCGGCAGCGCCCGCCCCUAGCGGACCCAGGACCAUUAAAGGUUGGCCUCGGAUCAGGCAGGGCUACCCGCUGAACUUAA
rnacentral:misc_RNA from 1 species